GCAGUUAUUCAAAUAAUAUUAAAUAUUAACGCUGACAUUCUCCAUGGCUGUAUCUGUCAUAGAUCAUGUGGGUUACAUCUGUCAUCUCGAAUCCCUUCAGACUGCGAGAGCUCCAGAAAUGUGAUCUGUUGGCAAAGCCGUUUGAUGCUCGAUGGCAGCUUCCUUUGGAUGUGUCCUGAAGCUGCGGAGGCCAGGGAGGAUCCCGCUCGUCUCCAGAUGGUUUGGGGCUUGUUACAGAUUGGAGGAAGCCCUGGGGUGAGGGGGAAGGUUGAGUAAUUACUAGUGUCUGGAAUUACACGAACGCCCUGGGGACAGGCUGGAACAGGCAGCUUUGCCUCUCCUAGAUGCCCCACUGCAGAGCCCCGCAUCAACCCUUGGAUCCAAGUCUGCCAGGUUGUAUCUGUUUGCUCGGGAUGCCAUAACAAAGGACCACAGACUGGGGGGUUUAAACAGCAGAAGUUUACUUUCUCACAGUACUGGAGGCUGGAAGUCUGAGGUCAAGGUGCUGGCGGUGUCGGUUUCUCCUGAGCCCUCUCUCUUUUGCCGGUAAGUGGCCGCCUUCUCCCCAUUAUCCUCACCCGGUCUUCCCUCUGUGUGUGUCUGCGUCCUAACCUUCCCUUCUCAUAAAGACACCAGUUAUGUUGGAUGGGGACCCAUCCUGAUGACCUCAUUUUACCUAAAUUCCCUCCCCAUCUCUAAAUAUAGUCACAGCUGAGGUACUGGGGGUUAGGGCUUCAACAUAUGAAUUUUGGGGUGGGAGGUCACACUUCAGCCUGUAACACUGGUCUUUCUUGCAAUGAUCCUCCCCAAGGAUUCCAUUUAAAUACAUGGGAUCUGCUGGUCAGAACAACUGGGCUCAAAUUCUGAUGCCACCACUCGCUGGAAGUGGGACCGUGGGAAAUUGUGCUUGUUUCUUUGUAAAUAGGAGCAUUAGAGAGACUGAGCUAAUAUGGGGGCUGAGAGGGUCAGCUGAAGCCACGCCUUCAAGGCAGCAGCGUGGUGCAUGGAACGUAGGAAGCAGUGCAAUGAAAGUUGAUUUGAGGGGCUUCACUUAUAUAAGAAUCAUUUUCAUAAUUCAGAAACCCUAGUUGGGAACAAUUCCCUGUUUUUGUCCAUCUGAGCUUCAUUGUUUGCUGCCCACAUGUUGUUACUGAUUCUCUUUUUUUUUUUUUUUUUGAG
rnacentral:lncRNA from 10 species